UGGGGAAUAUUGGACAAUGGGCGCAAGCCUGAUCCAGCCAUGCCGCGUGAGUGACGAAGGCCCUAGGGUUGUAAAGCUCUUUUGGCAGGGACGAUAAUGACGGUACCUGCAGAAUAAGCCCCGGCUAACUUCGUGCCAGCAGCCGCGGUAAUACGAAGGGGGCUAGCGUUGUUCGGAAUUACUGGGCGUAAAGCGCGCGUAGGCGGACUGGUCAGUUGGGGGUGAAAUCCCGGGGCUCAACCUCGGAACUGCCUUCAAUACUGCCAGUCUCGAGUCCGGAAGAGGUGAGUGGAAUUCCUAGUGUAGAGGUGAAAUUCGUAGAUAUUAGGAAGAACACCAGUGGCGAAGGCGGCUCACUGGUCCGGUACUGACGCUGAGGUGCGAAAGCGUGGGGAGCAAACAGGAUUAGAUACCCCCGUAGUCC
rnacentral:rRNA from 1 species